UCUGAGUAUGUAAUCCUGGAAUUUUCACCGAAGACACAAAAUGGAAGAAAAGCAAUCCUAGACUAUUUGGGCUGGGUAGAAGAACGAUGGGGGUCGUGUUCGCCGUUGGCGCCUAUAGGCAUCGGCCGCGAAGCCUGUUGUCUCGCGGUCACAGAAACAGAACGUCGUUGUGAUGAAACAUUGAAGAAUUCGGAUAUAGGAAGCAGCAAAUAAAUAGCCCAAGUCAUGGAGUCAGAUCAUCCUGAGAAUCUUCAAAACGAUAAUGAUUCUGUCUUUGUUUGGGAUGAGAAUUCUCAGCUUUACUUCCACGCCAGUAGUGGCUUUUACCAUGACCCUAGUGCUGGCUGGUACUAUAGCAGCAAGGAUGGUCUUUAUUAUAAAUUUGAGGACGGCAAUUACGUACUUCUGAGUUCUAAUGAGGCUGAUGAUGGAGGAACAUUCCCUUCCAAUGAUGUUGCACCAAAAGACCCUACUCUACCAGAUGGUUCUUGUCAACAAAUAUAUGGUGAGAAUGGCGAGUGUUAUUCUACCUUUGCUGAAAGUAUAUCAGAAUGUCAUCAACAGAUGGGAACGGCUGAUGAAGUUUCUCAUGAUCCCAGGGAUUGCAUGAGGAGUCCAACUUCUGAGAAACCUCCUCCACCACCAUCUGAGUGGUUAGAGGACACAUUAAUUGAUCUUUACUUGUCUGGCUACAAUAACCCUGCUAUAAGUGAAGCUGAUACAGCAGUAAUGCCCUUGGAAACAGAUGAUGAAGCUAAGUUAGCAUCUGAUGGUACACACAAUAACAAUACUUAUGAAUUGGAAGAAGGUGAAUGGAUCCCAGAGGAUGAAAAUGGUAUAGCUAAUACUAUCAUAGAUGAAGAUGAAGAGAAAUGGCGUGCUCAGUACGGUCAAGUCAUUGAUUCAGGAAAAGAGGUGGUUUCAGAGUUUCCAGCUGUGGACGUGUGGGAAUGGGAAAUGGUUCGAGGAUCCCGAAAAGAUGGAAAAGAUGAGGUGGCAAGGUUGGUUGGAAGAUUAGUAAAACGGUCCAUUAAGCUUCACCCUUCUAUGCCUUCAGGUGGUGGAAAAUUAAGAUCUGCUCCUAUAUGUGAAGCUCAUCUCGAUCUGGUACGAGUCAAAACAGGACAAGUAUACAAACUGCGAAAUCCUAAUGCAAGUUAUUUAGCUUCACUAUCAACAUAUGAUUCUGCCAAUCCUACAAAAGAAUGGGGAUUCCCUCCAUUAUCAUCUGAUUGGAAAAUCACCCAUAUAUCUAAAUCCAGUGAAAGUUCUGCAUCAGUUUCUGGUGGAGUAUGCAAUGAAAAAGGUCUGCCUGUGUUGCCGAAUCAGUUAGCUGCAUCUAAGCAAAGAAGCUGUCAGUACAGAGAUAGAGCUGCUGAAAGAAGAAUGUUGCAUGGUGUAUUUAGUGUGGGUCCAGGACAGAAGAAUCCAGUUGACAGUGACAAUGAUACCCCAUCAUCACCCGUUGGUAAUUGUCCACAAGAAGCUGCAGCUGAGGCUCUGGAGAUAUCAUUUGGGUCCGGUAGUUAUGCUAGAAAAAUUUUGAAAAGCAUGGGUUGGAAGGAGGGAGAAAGGCUUGGCAGCUCCACAAAAGGCUUGUUGGAACCUAUUCAACCUGUUGGAAACAUUGGCAAUGCAGGUUUGGGGUGGUCUCACCGUGGGAAAAAACGCUAGCCAUACUGUACUAUUAUUAACUGUUUGUGUUUGGUAUUGCUGCCGUUCAAACUUCGGUACUCGGAUAGUUUUCUUAUAAUGACAUGGGAAUCUGUUAGAGCAAUAUCUGAUGCACGAAGGCUAGAUGGAUAUGGUUGGCAGGAAGAAGAGUGUGCAGAAGUGAAAUAAGAAAGGAAUGGCACCAUCUAUACAUCCUAUUACGGGGUUCUAACAUGCACGUCUUCGACAUCGUGAAUUUCUUGGUCAAGACCAAAAUCCGUAUCAAGCUGAGGCGGGCUUCAUUCAAAAUGAUCAAUAUUCUCAUCAGAAAUAUGGAAAUCAGAAUAGAGUAAUUCUGGGUCAGAAUGAGCAUUGGGUAUUCUCUUGGUCCACGGCUAGUUUUACAUGUGUCCUGGGCAAGUAAUUCAGCAGCGGGACAUUGAUCAGGUGUCGAGAGGAAAAGGUCAGAGAAAUUGGCUGGGGGGAAAAUAUUUGAUGGUUUAUUUGGAUUAGUACCCGUUCUCUCAGAAAAUAAGAUCCUAUGAAGUAAAGCUCCUGAUUUGAGAAGGAAAAAAAAAUAGAGGAGAAAUAAAGCUUAGAGGGAUGGGGAUUAGCUUUUCGCAUCUCUGGUCAUGCUGCGUCGUUUCUCUCUCCCAAAUGCCUCGCUGCUAUCACCUUGUGCCCCAUAGCUUUAUAUGUAGCUUCAAUGGAGGAGGUUGAACUGGAAAACCAUGACGGCAAAUUGCAUUGACAGAUGAGGCUGAACCAUAAAACUAAAACAUCCAAAUGUAUUGAUGGAAGGGUCUUGAAACAGCCAUCUACAACGUUAGAUUCGUUGAUGUUUCUCGCAAGUUUUCCCAUGAGAACAGCAAAAACAGAAACAAAGAGGACCACAAACCAAAAAAUCGAAGGGAAAUAGUAUUGUGCAUGAUAAGUAAUAGCACGUGGUGCUCACUGAAUCGCAUCAGACUAGCAGGUAGUAACACAAUUCAAUGGUCAGAGGGUCCAAUGACGAAGAAAAUGUGCUGCCUUCCAUUUGAAGAAUUUGAUGAACAUGGUAUUAAUUUAUACUGCUUGUAACCUCAGAGAUCCCCUCUUUUGGCAGUAUUUCAAGAGAUGCCGAAGGUGAAGAUUUUGGGAAAGUA